rnacentral:miRNA from 1 species
CACUUCAUGGAGUGCCAUCCA